GUCAUGGAAUCCACCUGAGCUCCUAUGCCAGAAAGAAAAAUAAAAGGAAAAGCCAGGAGUGAGCAGGGCAUGGUGCCUUGGUGCCCCCACGCCUUUAAUCCCAGUACUGGGAGUGAGGGGAGUUUGAGGAGGCCGGGUCUGGGGGGAGGCAGGUGGAUCUCUGUGAGUUUGAAGCCAGCCUGGCCUACACAGCAAAUGCCACACCAGUUUCAGAGAGGUACAGAGAUGGGUCAGCAGUUAAGAGCACUGGCUGCUUUUCCAGAGGGCCCUGUUUCCAUUUAUAGCAUACAUGAUGGUUCUCAACUGUCUGUAACUCCAUUUGUUGCAUGGGAUCUGAUGCCCUCUUCUGGCCUCUGUGGGAGUCAGGUACCCAUAUAGUACACUGGCAGACACAGACAUGUGGGCAAAACACCAAUACACAUAAAAAGGGAGGGGGACCAGGGAGAUGGUUCAGCAGGCAAACAUUUGGCAACCUAAGUGUGAUCUCCAGAAACCACAGAAAAAACUGGAUAUGGUGGCUUGAAUCUGUAAUUCUAGCACUCCUACUAAGAGAUGGGAGGUGGUACAGUAUCAGUGGAAAGCUCACAUCCAAAGUACCAGAGGCAAAACCAACAAAGACAUUGCCUCAAAACCAAGGUGGAAGCCCAGAUGGCACAGGCCUUUAAUACCAGCACUCAGAAGAAAGAAGCAAGAAAAUCUUUGUGUUCCAGGCCAGCCAAGACUAAGCAGCACCAGGGGGUUUAGAAGAGAAAACAACCACCGUCCAAAAGGGUGUGGGAAUAGGGGCAAAAGGCAAGUAGCCCUCAAGCUAUGCUGGAGCAAGAUUUCGAUUGGGAACAGAAGCUACAUCCCAAGCCAAGACAAGGAUGGGAAGGAGAGGCAGACAGAAGACCAAAGGGCUGGAACAGAAUCCUUGGAUUCAGUGAAAAUAGAGCUUAGAGGCUACAAGAAAUACAAGGCUCUACCAGGGACUGUCCGCCACAGCUGAAUUAGGACCCACGAGUCUGGAUUUUUGCUUUGCCUCCUACUAGCUGAGGGACUCUGACCAAGUUAUUUAGCUCUUGAGGCUUCCCUGUUGUGUCCUCUACAAAGUGGGGAUAAUGACAGAGGUACCAAAAGAAUCUUGGGGUGAAUCAUUGAGAUAGCUCUCACUCAGUAGAGGGCUAUUAGAGUCAUUGUGAGAAGCAACUGGGAAGUGUGAACUGUGAUGAUUGUGUGGACUAUUGGGUCUACCAGAAGGAAGCACUGAAGGCUUCCCUCCGAGGUAGAGAGUACAGAGGUGGAGGGUACCUCAGGCUGUGCUGUUGAGAUGAAUACUGCAGAAGGGCUGGGAAUGGGCAGAUGGCCAGAAGCCACAGGCAGAUAGGAAACUAUUGUAUCCAGGCAAGCAGGGGAGAGCAGCUGUUUUUAGAAGCAAGGGAUACAAGAAUCCAGAUAGCCCUGAGCUUUCUAGGCUGGGAGAUGUACCUGGGAGAGGUGGGCUAGUUGGUGACGGGAUGCAGGGACAGCCAAACAGGAGGAAAGGCUCAAUCAUAGAGGUGUUUGGGGCUAUGUGGAGAUGUUGCUCCGUGUGAAGCAGGGGUAUGGGAGGCAGGGGUUGGGCCUUGAGCACACACAGUGGAAUCAGCUGGCAAAUCUCCCUUGAGAGAAGCAAUCAACCCUGAGCAUGACUCCAAUGUGACUCAUCACUCACAGAAAGGAGAUAUAAUUACUUAGGCUUUUUUUGGGGGGGGUGCUUUAGGUGUGCCUGACACUAUGGCAAGCCAUUACAUGCCUUAAUUUAGGGUUCAAAAGCCCUAGAAGAUGAUACUGUUACCAUCUAAAUUCCAUACAGUAGACUGGAUAAGUCAGAAUCAAUAAGGCUGAUGCUAAUCCAGAACUUUGAGCAGGUACACAGAGAUUUGGGCUUCCCUGACCAUUACGGCAGGCUUUGUUCGGAUUGGCUGAUGCCUAUCCUACUGGUUAUUCAAUGUUUUGAACGUUGCCUUGGUUACACAGCUGGAUGAAGGCAGUAGAAUCCAAACCACCCCUGAGCAAGACAAAAUUAUUCCAUUUUAUUGCCGUCCCGCCCAGAGGCAACAACCUUUGUAAACUGUAAAGUCCGUUAUAAAUAGCAAGUUCGCUGAUCUUGUUGAAGUUGGAACAAGCUGAAUUGGAUGGUUGAGGAGACGCUGCUGUGGAGAGCCAGCAUUCUUUCGGUCCGCUCGAGAGGAAACCAAGACACAAGGGACCUGGUCAAUGGAGCCCUGCUGUUACUGAAGCCCUCCAGCAUUCAUAGAUGAGGUUAGCCUUGGCCUGUCUUCAGGGACUGAGUAGACCCUUCCAUAGCUGUCCGGCAGAGGGCGCUACUCCCCCAGCCUUUCCUUCUGCUGGCCAUACUAACCGCAACUCCACUCCAAACACACUCCCGCCCUGGCACACAAGAAACCGGAAUGGAGGGGGAGGCCCCUGGGACUUUGAGAAGUGAUCAAGGGGAGCCAUGGAAGUUGAGAAUGGGUCCUUGUCCCACAGAGAGGUAAAACAAGGCCAAAGGAAAGCUGACACCCACUUUCAGUACCAUAAACCUUGGACCCAUUUUACUGGAGUAAUUUGAGACUGGACAAUAUUAGAUGGCACAGGAGGAGAAAAGGAGAGGGUGAGAGAGAGAGAGGGAGUGUGAGAGAGAGAGAGACAGAGACAGAGACACCCAGAGACACCCAGAGAACACUAGGUCUUGUGAUCCCAAGAUCAGUUUCAAAGACCACAAGUCAAUACCAACUCGCUGGAUCCGGUGGGGUCGGGUGCACCUGCCUGUUUUUGUGGUACUGAACCAUGACCUAGCCAAGAUGGUCUUCCCGAGAGUGGAGUCUGACCACAGAACAACAGCUUCCUCUUUGUUAUUUGAUUAGUUUGGAGGGUUUGGGUUGGUUGGUUGGUUUCCUUAUUUUUAAAGACAAGGUCUCUUGCAGCCUAAGCUCGGCUCAGGCUCUGUAAGGAAGGCUGGCUUUGAAUUCAUUGAUCUCCCUGUAUCCCAAGGUCUGAGAUAACGUGCCACUACCCAGUUGUUUUUUAAUUAAAUGUUUGAAGUCCUGAGUUCCUGCUUCUGUGUCCUCUGCCUCCCAGGAACCACCCGCUCCUCCACCCACUGCCCACACAAGCAGCUUCACAUAGGCAAAUCCUGGGUUUCUCCUCUGCUCCCAGAAGCAAGCUCUAGGCCACCAAAGCCACGUGCUGUUAUGUGACCCUUUCUUCCUUCACCCUCUCCACCCCGUCCAGCGCCCCCACCCCAUAAUAGGCAGAGGCAGCAGCGCAAAUAAACAGGAGGAUAUAUAUGAACUGAGACAAGUCUCUGCCACCUCCCACCACCGAUCUCAGUUCCUCCAUUAAAAACAAUCCAAAUUGGAAAAGGUUUGGGAGUCAACGGGUCCAUCUUGCACCAACUCUUCUUUUUACGGGGGGUUGGGGAAUCCGGGCGCCGCCUCUCCAGAUCUACGGCCAAAUUUACAAGACCAGACUAGGCUGGGCAGCGGCCGGCACGAGAGGGAAACUCUAGCCCGGAGGCGGGAAUUGGACAUGUCCGACUGUGGGAGGCCCAGAGCCGGCAUCUCUAAAAUUGGUGGGGUGGGGGAACGGCUAAAAGAUCGUUUCGACAAAGGGCCCCCCCAUCCCCGCCUCCCGCAUCUCUGAGGUUCCUGUGUCUAGCCGUGGCGCCCUAACGAGCCUCUAUUUCAUUUCCUCCCCUUUCUGUCCAACCCUUUACUUCCUUCUGCUUUGGGAGUCGUAGGCAGCUCGCGUGUCUGGGCCCACGUGCGUAGACACGGGUUCAACUUCCAGCACUGCCAUGAAGGCUCACAAGCACCUGCAACUCCAGUUCUGGGAAAGCCAGUUUAGUUUCCUCUUCUGGUUUCCUUGGGCACCAGACACACUACACGCAAGUAAAACAAAGAUAUAAGCAAAUUUCCAUACUGAAAUUUGAAUACUGAGGAAAACGGCUUGGGGAAGAGGGCUGUUGGGAAACAGCAAAAUACACGGAAAAAAAAAAAAUGAACUCUGCUCCUGGAGGAGUUCUGUUCUGCCAUGAACAGGAACAAACAAGGCCUUCAUGUCUUAGCGAGGGUAAUUACAGAAGCCUGUGUCUGUUAAAGAACAGGUUAGGAAAGUGUGUACGCCGUACUUCUGCUAAUGUAGAGUUUCAAAACAAGAAUAUUAAGUAUACAAAAUGAGUUUAGGGGAUGGAGAUGUGGUUCUGGGGUUAAGGACACCAGGUACUCUUGCAGAGGACCCAAAUUCAGAUCUCAGUGCUCAUGCUGGGCGGCUCUCAACCACCUGUAAGACCAGUUCCAGAAAGAUGUAGCUUCUGGAUUCCGUUGGUACCCUGUAUUCCCAUCCUCCUCCCACCACCUUCUCUCUCUGCUUUAUGAGACAUAGUCUGUCUAUGUAACCCUGGCUGGCCUUGAACUAACUAUAUUGACCAGGCUGGCCCAAAACACAGAGAUCUGCCUGCUUCUACCUUCUAAGUGCUGAAAUUAAAAGCACAGCCAUCAUGUCCCUCCCCCUCUCUUCCUCCCUCCCUCCCUCCCCCUCCCCCCCUCUCUCUCUCUUUAAAAUAAUAAAAGUCAAUAUUUUGAGGACUGGAAGCGGAGGUUUUGAUCGUGAUGUAAAGCGAAUAAAUAAAUGAAAAAGGGGGAAAGUCACUGUUCUAAAAAUAAAAUAAAAAUUAAGUAUAUAAAAUAAAUCUUUACAAUAGACUUGUGUUUCUAAUCUGCAGAAGAAGAAUAUAAACAUCUUGCAGGAUGUUGGCCACUGACUCAGAAUAGCACUGAGCUCUGGGAAGUAAAGGAAGCAAAGCACCCAGGCUCUAACUCUUCUCCACAGCUUACAGCUUUGGUGUGCGCGCGCGCGCGCGUGUGUGUGU